rnacentral:rRNA from 1 species
GACGAACGCUGGCGGCGUGCUUAACACAUGCAAGUCGAACGGAAAGGCCCUGCUUUUGUGGGGUGCUCGAGUGGCGAACGGGUGAGUAACACGUGAGUAACCUGCCCUUGACUUUGGGAUAACUUCAGGAAACUGGGGCUAAUACCGGAUAGGAGCUCCUGCUGCAUGGUGGGGGUUGGAAAGUUUCGGCGGUCGGGGAUGGACUCGCGGCUUAUCAGCUUGUUGGUUGGGUAGUGGCUUACCAAGGCUUUGCCGGGUAGCCGGCCUGAGAGGGUGACCGGCCACAUUGGGACUGAGAUACGGCCCAGACUCCUACGGGAGGCAGCAGUGGGGAAUAUUGCACAAUGGGCGGAAGCCUGAUGCAGCAACGCCGCGUGCGGGAUGACGGCCUUCGGGUUGUAAACCGCUUUCGCCUGUGACGAAGCGUGAGUGGCGGUAAUGGGUAAAGAAGCACCGGCUAACUACGUG